rnacentral:rRNA from 1 species
UAGGGAAUCUUCGGCAAUGGGGGGAACCCUGACCGAGCAGCGCCGCGUGAGUGAAGAAGGUUUUCGGAUCGUAAAGCUCUGUUGUUAAGGAAGAACGAGUGUGAGAAUGGAAAGUUCAUACUGUGACGGUACUUAACCAGAAAGGGACGGCUAACUACGUGCCAGCAGCCGCGGUAAUACGUAGGUCCCGAGCGUUGUCCGGAUUUAUUGGGCGUAAAGCGAGCGCAGGCGGUUAGAUAAGUCUGAAGUUAAAGGCAGUGGCUCAACCAUUGUAGGCUUUGGAAACUGUUUAACUUGAGUGCAGAAGGGGAGAGUGGAAUUCCAUGUGUAGCGGUGAAAUGCGUAGAUAUAUGGAGGAACACCGGUGGCGAAAGCGGCUCUCUGGUCUGUAACUGACGCUGAGGCUCGAAAGCGUGGGGAGCGAACAGG